rnacentral:misc_RNA from 1 species
CAAUAUUCUUUGGGGCUAACGAUGCAGCUCUAAAAGGGAGAACCAGUGACAGGCAACAUGUUCCUGUGGAGGAAUACAAAGAGAAUCUAAGGAAAAUUGUUCAGCAUUUGAAGGUUUUGUCCAUGCCACAUUAAUUGUGCUUAUUACUCCACCACCGAUUGAUGAAGAAGGGCGCAAACAGUAUGCCAUAUCUGUAUAUGGUGAGAAAGCUACGGAAUUGCCAGAAAGGACAAAUGAAAUGGCAGGA